CUAGAUGUUGCACAUGAUGAAAGCUGACACAAAUAUUGUGCUGCCUAUAAAAUAAUUCAACAGUAAUUAUCAAACCAAAACCACUCACCAUGCCUGUAGGCUGGUAGUCGUUUUCUUGCCUCUGCUGACUGGAGUAAUUUGACCCAUUGUAGGACCAGUCAUAUAUAUAUAUAUAUAUAUAUGGUGUAGCUGUAAAUAACCAAAAAUCUGAAGAGACCACUAAUCGAAUUCCCUAUUCAGAGAUUGCCAGUGCUUUCAGCAAAAGCUAUUGCUUUUGAGUUUUUUUUUUU